rnacentral:tRNA from 1 species
GGGCCAUUGGCGGAACUGGCAGACGCAUACGCCUUAGGAGCGUACGGGGCAACCCUUGAAAGUUCGACUCUUUCAUGGCCCACCA